GUAGUGAGAAUUGAAGAUGAGAUUGAGACUGGUGUGACGACGGUGGUGGUGUUGGUGGAGAAGGUGGCCGAGGUAGUGGAGAAGGUGGCCGAGGAUGUGGCUGAUGGGUCUCCGGCUGGUGGGAAACUAAACAAGGCUGCUUUGGAGACGGAACAUGUUGCGGAGGUUGUAGUGAAGGAUGCUGAAGAGGCUAAAGUUAUCAUUAAGAAGAUUUAUGAGAUAAAGGAAGAGAUUGAAGAUUAUGUAAUGGUCGAGAUGUCCGAUCUCCUCGAUGAGGAAAGCCCAGCAAAGAAAAGCGCAAGCACAGCGAAAGAAAGCGCCGCCACUGGAGCUGCUUCAAGUGGCAAAAGUCCUUAGCGUCUUGAAACUGAAAAUGCCCUUGUUGUACAUAGGAAACCAUUAUCCAUCAGGUUAUUAAACAUUUUCUG
rnacentral:misc_RNA from 1 species